CUUUUUUAAUUUUGUUUGUUGUUUGUUGUUAUUCAGUUAAAAAUAUUCGUAGAGAAUCGAAUUUUUGACAGAAACUUAUACUUAGUUUUUCCAUACGUGUUAAAACGUUCGAAACAUUUAAGCCAUUUUAAGCCAUUUAUGGACACUUUAAUUUUAAAAGUAUUUUAAGUAAUUGUAUUUUAUUUGGUAGUAUGUGGAUAAAAUUGUUUGAUAAAAUAGCAACGCCUGAAAAUUUUACAUUAGGAUUAGAUAAAAUAUCCGUAUGACGGCCAAAGAGAAACACAUCCACACAAACAUAAUGACAUCAUCAUAAAACUAAUACACGAUUUGCUGUAGCGUUUAGACCACUAAAAAAAAAAUUAUCAAAUAAAUUUGUUACAGUUGAUGUAAAAAUUGCCCGUUAUUUUUAUUGAUAAAUAAACUAUCAUAUUAUUAAGCUAUCGUAAAUAUUCAAAUAGCCCAGUGACACAAUUUCAAUGCCGUGUUUACUCCCGGUUAAACGGAUAAUACGUAUUAAUUAUUUAAUUGAUUAAUGGUUCAAAUCGAAAUCUGCUAAGAUAUCAUUAUUCUAGUGCCGCCCAGCGUAUUGUCGAAAUAUUAAUCCGCGACGUUGUUCCGGGUAAAUCUGGAAAAUAUGACUGCAGGGAUUUUCUUGUGAUUACAGACAAAAAUGGACUCCGCAGCAAUUUAUUUGUUUAUUUUUUUAACCAACCAAUUUAUUUUUCUUUCCUUUGCUUAUUGCUUUUUUCUUUACCUACUGUCAGUGGCAUCGAUUUACUAAAAACGUAGUCGGGCGAAAUACAUUUCAAGAGGCACCGAUAAUCAAAAACCGUUAUAUGUUCAAAGUUUUGUACAUGUUUUUAUUUUUAUAAUGAAGCAUACAUUCAACUAGGCCAGUUGUGACCAAACUUUUUGUUGCGAGGGCGAUAAAAAAAUAAUAACAAAUCUUUUCAGUUAUUAUCGAAUAUUGCGUUUCAAGUUGCUAAAAAAAAAAAACACACAUCAUUAGGGCAAGGAUGUUGUUGCAUUUGCAACUUAUUCUUUACCUUUUCAAUUUAUUGUUAAGUGAGUUUUAAAUACGUUUCAUGUAAGUACGAAUUCAGAUCUAGAAUUUUUAAGUGCGAUGUUUUGCAAUUUUUUCAAUUUUAUUGCAAUUUUGAUAAAUUUACUGAAUUUACACACCUACUUUAGCUAUUCUCGACACUCGACAAUCCUAUAGAUAAGAUUGUACUAUAAUAUUGCCAGCCUUAAAAACAAUAAUGGUAUCAUAUUUUUAUUUUCAUAGUUCUAAGUUCAUAGAUAUUCAAUACAAUUAAAAAAUAUAUGUUUUGUGAAAUGUAACUGACUGUUAUAAUCUUUUUUUCAGUCACUCCGUGAAUUUUGAGUGAUCGUGUUCUGCUAUAACUUUAUAAAUAUGCGAGGAAUUAAGCCAACUAUUUUCAUUUUUGUAAAAAAAUUAUUUGUUUUUAGUGCAAUUUUUAAUAUUUGUAUUGAAUAUUUCUGUAUUUUUUAGUGGGAUACUGCGAUCAGUUUCAAUAUAUAUUUACUACUUCAAUAUCAAUGCUCUAUACACCAUAGUAAAAACGAAAUAUCCCUCGUCACCACACUUCGAAUCUACACGAUGAACAUCAUUGUAAUACCGAGGCAUUCCUUACUACGUUUCGAAUCUAAAAAUAUAUCGUAUUGUAUGUAACCGUGUGGGGAUGUUUAUCACUACGAAGAAACACGUCGGUGAAAAAAGACUAAAAUCAAAUCGUUUCGUGCAACUAUUAAUGGACGGUAACUCGAUCGUAUUUACCUAACUUUAACUUAUUUAACCUAAAUACAAUUAUACUAGUUUUUUUUUUCCAAUUUAAAUUUUCAGAUCAGUCAGAGAUUAAAGACAAUAAUAAUGGUCUGUUUGCAAACAGAGACAAAAUCGCUAUACGUAUGCAACUAGAGAACAUUUCCUUUCAGAAUCGGCACUAGUGUACUAUACUCUAUAUAUCGGAGCAAGAUUUGUUUUCGAAAAUAUAUUUACAGGCACAAAAAACACACACGCACCAUAGUAAUACCAAUAGAUCCCUCGCAACGUUCUUAAUCUAGAAUAACCACGACCAGUGGGGAGAGGAUUAAUCCCCGUAAACCUCACACGUGAGAACGGGUUUGGCAAUCGUUAGGGACGAAGCAAGAAAGAUCUGUAUUUGUAGAUAUUUUUUUUAAACGCCAAGCGCAACGAAAAAUUCGUGUUGAUUAAAAUGUUCAACCGGUUUUGGUCGCCAAAUAGAUACAAAUUUAAUUUGACAGAAAAGCUGCUAUCCUUCUCAACCGUAGGAAUGGUGUAAAUUUAUUAUUAGUUUAUUUAUAAAUGAUAAAUAAUCUAUUGUCAUUUUCCGGAAAACGUUUUUUUAAAAAAAAAAUUGUAUUUAUUAAAAUUGAGUGGAAAACACAAAUGUUAAACGGCGAUUAUUUAUUUAUUUUGCGUGAUUAAUGUGUGUGUAUACAGUAUACGUAAUAGAAAACGAAUUGUGUUUAGUAAAAUUGUCGUCAAUCCAAUACCACACCAUAUUGCGCGUGAACGUCAUCGUAGUUUGUCUAAAAUAACCUAACGUGCCGCACAGACAACAGCCAUUCAACUCCGUUUCAAGUCAGUUCGUCUACAAUCAACCGAAUAAGCCGUUGUUUUGAUAACAUUGAUUUUCCAGUUGUACAAAUUGUAUAAUGAAUUUCAAUUAUGUAUGCUUUUUGCUAUAUUUUAUUUUACUGACAAUAGCCUUGACAGCUGUAAGUGCACAUUACGAACACCUCGGUAAGAAACCACUGCCAAGAUGUCAGAAGGGUUACAAAUUAUGUAAGAAAAGUAUUAACCAUCGUCAUUGUGUAUGUUGUCGACGAUCAUGUGAUCGUUGGCUUCAUAGAAGAUCAUUUUUAAUGUGUUAUAAGAAGUAUAAGGCGUGUUGGAGUGUAGAAGAACAAUGUGCAUGUUGUCUAAACCAUUGUCACGAGUUUUAAAUAUUUACACCGCAAACGGAAGUAAACGAAGAAAAUAAAAUACACCAAUAAAAAUUAAUUCUAUGCAAAUAAUGAUAUCCUCGGCCGUCUUUUUCGUCCAAAACCCAAGAAUAAUUUUGUGAUUAAAUGUUAAGAUUUAUCAUUGUAUUUUUCCGAAAUCCAUUAAACUACCAAAAAGAUGUUUUUUUUUUUUUUUUGGAAAUUAUACCUCUCGUUGUAUCAAAAAUCAAAACAUGUUUUUUUCCUUUUUACAUUAUCUGUUGUUCUUUUGG